GAUGAACGCUGGCGGCGUGCCUAAUACAUGCAAGUCGAGCGAACGGACGAGAAGCUUGCUUCUCUGAUGUUAACGGCGGACGGGUGAGUAACACGUGGAUAACCUACCUAUAAGACUGGGAUAACUUCGGGAAACCGGAGCUAAUACCGGAUAAUAUUUUGAACCGCAUGGUUCAAAAGUAAAAGACGGUCUUGCUGUCACUUAUAGAUGGAUCCGCGCUGCAUUAGCUAGUUGGUAAGGUAACGGCUUACCAAGGCAACGAUGCAUAGCCGACCUGAGAGGGUGAUCGGCCACACUGGAACUGAGACACGGUCCAGACUCCUACGGGAGGCAGCAGUAGGGAAUCUUCCGCAAUGGGCGAAAGCCUGACGGAGCAACGCCGCGUGAGUGAUGAAGGUCUUCGGAUCGUAAAACUCUGUUAUUAGGGAAGAACAUAUGUGUAAGUAACCGUGCACAUCUUGACGGUACCUAAUCAGAAAGCCACGGCUAACUACGUG
rnacentral:rRNA from 1 species